GUGGAUUUAGAUAAAAUUAUUUUUUUUUUUUUUUUGACUAACUGAUGAUAAUUGUCUUUAAAGGUUUAAGUAGGUCACGUGGCCAUUUACGUUUGAGGCGGCGGAUAGGGUUAUCUGGGAGUGAGAGAGAUGAGAGACUUAGGAUGAUUAAUGGUAUUUUUAUGAAAUUUUUUGUAGUGGUUUGACGCUAUUUCAGAGAUAGUUGGAAUUUUUAGAUCCUUAUGUAGAGUACGAUUGCUGACAUACCAGGGAGAUUUGGUUAAGAGUCGGAGGUUAAUGGAUUGAAAGGCUUGGAAUUUAUUUAAGUUAGAGUUCUUAGAGGUUCCCCAAAUUUGUAUGCCAAAGGUCAUUGCAGGUCGAAUGAUUUGUUUGUAUAUGAGAAGUUUAUUGUUAAGAGAGAGGUUAGAAUGCAGGAGCUGUCUGAAUUUAUGGAAUUUUAGAUUGGGGAAGAUCUUUUGUUUUUUAUGUGGGCUGCCCAAGUUAGUCUUUUGUCAAGAUGAAGACCAUGGUAUUUUUUUUACGGAGUUUUGUGUUUGAAUUGUUUUGUUGUUUAGUAUUAAUGGUUGACUGUUUUUAAAACCAAGAGUAAAUGUAAUGAACAUUGAUUUAUUUUCGUUGAUUUUUAUUCUCCAUUUAUGGAAUCAGUGUUCUAGAAUUACUAGGUGUUCUUAGAGGUGGUUUGUAGCAGUUUGAAGACAUUUGUUGGAUGUCAGAAUAGCAGUAUCGUCGGCAAAGGUAGCUAGAGUAGUCUUAUUUGAGUGUGGUAUGUCAGAGGUGAAAAGAUUAUAUAACAGGAGCGAGAAUACUGCCCUGGGGAACCCCAGCAUUUAUAGGGUGAGUUGUCAAAAGUUCAUCUUCACAGCGAACCUGGAAUGAUCUGUUUAAGAGAAAGGAUUUUAUGGUAAGAUAAAGAGGUGCGGGAAGAAAAAUAAUUUUGUAUAACAAGCCCUUAUGCCAGACCCGAUCAAAGGCUUCAGCCAAAUCUAGGAAUGGUGUGUUGCAGUAAUGUUUGUUUUCUAAGGUAGAUGCGAUAUUAUCAACGAUUCGGUGUACUUGAUGCAGGGCAGAAUGGUUGUUUCCAAAACCAAAUUGAGUAUUGGGAAUUAUUUUUUUUCCGUUAUAAUUUGAUUGAUUCUUUUAAGGAGAAUUUUUUCAAGGUUUUUUACUAGGGAGGGAAGCAGACUAAUUGGACGGUAUGAGGAAGGAAGAUCGGGGGGUUUACCUGUAUAAUACAGUUGAAGUUUUAACUUCUAUUUUAGUUGGAUUUUGUUUGGAUCAUUUUGUUAUUUAAGCGAAACAGUGUGAUUUUUGUUUUUAAAGGAUUGGAUUUCAAUCUUCAAUUCUUAAAAUAGCAAUUUAGGAUAAUUAAAUUUUCCAUCAAUUAGCUCACACGAGUCAAAAGAAUAUCCUUGGUUCAUCAACGCUAGGUCAUUGAUAAAAAUAAAUUAUCUAGCUUUUGUUUCCAGAAUAUCAAAAGUAUAUUAGUUAAAUAAGAGUGAUGUAAAACAGAUCCCUAUGGUUAACUAUUAUUAAGUAUUAUUUGCUCUUAUUUUCUCCAAUUAUUACUGUAAAUUGACUAUUAGAUAGCAUGUUAUUUAUAAUUCUUUAAUGUAUUAUAAUCUUAAAAUUAUUAUGUAUAUUGUACUUUUAAACAAAGGCUACACCCGUAAAUUGUAUAUUGAUAUAAAUAUUGUAUAUUAAUUGUUCUACAAGAAAUUAUAUGUAAAAGCUUAUUGAUCAAUCCCAAACGCCAUAGUGUCCUACGUUGCUGUUAGAUCAAUACAUGUUGCAGCAAUGUUUAGUCCCUUUUCAAAACUAGCCUCCAAGUGUGUGAUUAAGGAUAAGUUCUGAUCACAACAAUUUUUGUUAGGGCGUGUCUGUUCAAUAGGAAUGAUUUUGUUUAUCGGAUCUGAUAUUCAGUUAAAAAUUAGCCUUUCUAACAUAGCUAAUACUUGGGAGAAUAAUGGGUUUGUAACUAUAUAUUUGUAUAGUUUUUCAAGUUUCAGUAUUG
rnacentral:lncRNA from 1 species